AUCAUGGCUCAGGAUGAACGCUAGCUACAGGCUUAACACAUGCAAGUCGAGGGGAAACGAUAGGAAAAGCUUGCUUUUUCUAGGCGUCGACCGGCGCACGGGUGAGUAACGCGUAUCCAACCUGCCCAUCACUUGGGGAUAACCUUGCGAAAGUAAGACUAAUACCCAAUGAUAUCUCUAGAAGACAUCUGAAGGAGAUUAAAGAUUUAUCGGUGAUGGAUGGGGAUGCGUCUGAUUAGCUUGUUGGCGGGGUAACGGCCCACCAAGGCAACGAUCAGUAGGGGUUCUGAGAGGAAGGUCCCCCACAUUGGAACUGAGACACGGUCCAAACUCCUACGGGAGGCAGCAGUGAGGAAUAUUGGUCAAUGGACGAGAGUCUGAACCAGCCAAGUAGCGUGCAGGAUGACGGCCCUAUGGGUUGUAAACUGCUUUUAUAAGGGAAUAAAGUGAGCUACGUGUAGCUUUUUGCAUGUACCUUAUGAAUAAGGACCGGCUAAUUCCGUGCCAGCAGCCGCGGUAAUACGGAAGGUCCGGGCGUUAUCCGGAUUUAUUGGGUUUAAAGGGAGCGUAGGCCGGAGAUUAAGCGUGUUGUGAAAUGUAGAUGCUCAACAUCUGCACUGCAGCGCGAACUGGUUUCCUUGAGUACGCACAAAGUGGGCGGAAUUCGUGGUGUAGCGGUGAAAUGCUUAGAUAUCACGAAGAACUCCGAUUGCGAAGGCAGCUCACUGGAGCGCAACUGACGCUGAAGCUCGAAAGUGCGGGUAUCGAACAGGAUUAGAUACCCUGGUAGUCCGCACGGUAAACGAUGGAUGCCCGCUGUUGGUCUGAAUAGGUCAGCGGCCAAGCGAAAGCAUUAAGCAUCCCACCUGGGGAGUACGCCGGCAACGGUGCAACUCAAAGGAAUUGACGG
rnacentral:rRNA from 1 species